GAAGUCAAGCAUGACGUUUUCCUAUCUCUAGUCGGCAUAGUUUAUGGUUAAGACUACGACGGUAUCUGAUCGUCUUCGAGCCCCUAACUUUCGUUCUUGAUUAAUGAAAACAUCUUUGGCAAAUGCUUUCGCAGUAGUUCGUCUUUAACAAAUCUAAGAAUUUCACCUCUGACAGUUAAAUACGAAUGCCCCCAACCGUCCCUAUUAAUCAUUACUUCAGUCCUAGAAACCAACAAAAUAGGGCCGAAAUCCUAUCUUAUUAUUCCAUGCUGCAGUAUUCAAGGCGACAAGCCUGCUUGAAACACUCUAAUUUUCUCAAAGUAAAAGUCCUGGAAAAAACUCCACACAAUGAAGUGUGGAGAAAUCCAGAAGGAUGCUAGAAUUCACCAAGUGCACACCCCUGAGGGCGGACUGGCUGCUUCCAGCAGAAAUCCAACUACGAGCUUUUUAACUGCAACAACUUUAAUAUACGCUAUUGGAGCUGGAAUUACCGCGGCUGCUGGCACCAGACUUGCCCUCCAAUUGUUACUCUGAAAGGGGUUUGGAUUCCUAUCAUUCCAAUCACUAGAAAUGAAAUUUCCAGUGUUGUUAUUUCUUGUCACUACCUCCCUGAAUCAGGAUUGGGUAAUUUGCGCGCCUGCUGCCUUCCUUAGAUGUGGUAGCCGUUUCUCAGGCUCCCUCUCCGUAAUCGAACCCUAAUUCCCCGUUACCCGUCACUGCCACGGUAGUCCAAUACAGUACCGUCGAAAGCUGAUAGGUCAGAAACUUGAAUGAUCCGUCGCAGACCGAAGUCAACGCGAUCCGUUCGGUUACUAUGAAUCACCUGAGGACCACCGGAAGGUGGGUUGGUUCUGUAUCUAAUAAACACUGCCCUUCCAGGGGAAGAGGCAUGUGCGCAUGUAUUAGCCAUAGAAUUACCACGGUUAUCCAUGUAGUAAAGACCAUCAAAUAAACUAUAACUGUUUUAAUGAGCCAUUCGCAGUUUAGCCGUAUAAAAGCUUAUACUUAGACAUGCAUGGCUUAAUCUUUAAGACAAGCAUAUGA